rnacentral:rRNA from 1 species
AUUGAACGCUGGCGGCAGGCCUAACACAUGCAAGUCGAACGGUAACAGGAAGCAGCUUGCUGCUUCGCUGACGAGUGGCGGACGGGUGAGUAAUGUCUGGGAAGCUGCCUGAUGGAGGUGGAUAACUACUGGAAACGGUAGCUAAUACCGCAUAAUGUCGCAAGACCAAAGAGGGGGACCUUCGGGCCUCUUGCCAUCGGAUGUGACCAGAUGGGAUUAGCUUGUUGGUGGGGUAACGGCUCACCAAGGCGACGAUCCCUAGCUGGUCUGAGAGGAUGACCAGCCACACUGGGACUGAGACACGGUCCAGACUCCUACGGGAGGCAGCAGUGGGGAAUAUUGCACAAUGGGCGCAAGCCUGAUGCAGCCAUGCCGCGUGUAUGAAGAAGGCCUUCGGGUUGUAAAGUACUUUCAGCGGGGAGGAAGGGAGUAAAGUUAAUACCUUUGCUCAUUGACGUUACCCGCAGAAGAAGCACCGGCUAACUCCGUG